rnacentral:misc_RNA from 1 species
GAACGCACCUUGCGCUCUCUGGUAUUCCGGAGAGCAUGCCUGUUUGAGUGUCAUGAACUCUUCAACCCACCGGUUCCUUGUUGGACCGCGUGGCGCUUGGAUUCUGAGCGCUUGCUGGUCGAAAGACUUUAGCUCGCUCGUAAUACAUUAGCAUCUCAAUUUCGUAAUCGGAUUGACUCAGCGUAAUAGACUAUUCGCUGAGGACACGGGGCAACCUGUGGCCGAACAUGAAUGAGUAUAGAAGCUUCCAACCCUCUAGUCACUUUUAGAUUAGACCUCAGAUCAGGCAGGAUUACCCGCUGAACUUAAG